GACGAACGCUGGCGGCGUGCUUAACACAUGCAAGUCGAACGGAAAGGCCUGCAGCUUGCUGCGGGUACUCGAGUGGCGAACGGGUGAGUAACACGUGGGUGAUCUGCCUUGCACUUCGGGAUAAGCUUGGGAAACUGGGUCUAAUACCGGAUAGGACAGCUGUUUAGUGUCAGUUGUGGAAAGUUUUUUCGGUGCAAGAUGAGCUCGCGGCCUAUCAGCUUGUUGGUGGGGUAAUGGCCUACCAAGGCGUCGACGGGUAGCCGGCCUGAGAGGGUGUACGGCCACAUUGGGACUGAGAUACGGCCCAGACUCCUACGGGAGGCAGCAGUGGGGAAUAUUGCACAAUGGGCGGAAGCCUGAUGCAGCGACGCCGCGUGGGGGAUGAAGGCCUUCGGGUUGUAAACUCCUUUCGACAGGGACGAAGCUUUUGUGACGGUACCUGUAUAAGAAGCACCGGCUAACUACGUGCCAGCAGCCGCGGUAAUACGUAGGGUGCGAGCGUUGUCCGGAAUUACUGGGCGUAAAGAGCUCGUAGGUGGUUUGUCGCGUCGUCUGUGAAAUUCCGGGGCUUAACUCCGGGCGUGCAGGCGAUACGGGCUGACUUGAGUGCUGUAGGGGAGACUGGAAUUCCUGGUGUAGCGGUGAAAUGCGUAGAUAUCAGGAGGAACACCGAUGGCGAAGGCAGGUCUCUGGGCAGUAACUGACGCUGAGGAGCGAAAGCAUGGGUAGCGAACAGGAUUAGAUACCCUGGUAGUCCAUGCCGUAAACGGUGGGCGCUAGGUGUAGGGGGCUUCCACGUCUUCUGUGCCGUAGCUAACGCAUUAAGCGCCCCGCCUGGGGAGUACGGCCGCAAGGCUAAAACUCAAAGGAAUUGACGGGGGCCCGCACAAGCGGCGGAGCAUGUGGUUUAAUUCGAUGCAACGCGAAGAACCUUACCAGGGCUUGACAUGUGGGUGAAAGGUAUAGAGAUAUACCCCUCUCUUUAUGAGACAUCCAUACAGGUGGUGCAUGGUUGUCGUCAGCUCGUGUCGUGAGAUGUUGGGUUAAGUCCCGCAACGAGCGCAACCCCUAUACUUAGUUACCAGCGGGUAAUGCCGGGGACUCUAAGUAGACUGCCGAUGACAAAUCGGAGGAAGGUGGGGAUGACGUCAAAUCAUCAUGCCCUUUAUGUCCUGGGCUACACACGUGCUACAAUGGUUGGUACAGAGGGAAGCUAUAUAGUGAUAUAAUGCAAAACUCCAAAGCCAAUCCCAGUUCGGAUUGUAGGCUGCAACUCGCCUACAUGAAGUCGGAGUUGCUAGUAAUCGCGGAUCAGAAUGUCGCGGUGAAUGCGUUCCCGGGUCU
rnacentral:rRNA from 1 species